rnacentral:rRNA from 1 species
CCUACGGGGAGCAGCAGUGAGGAAUAUUGGUCAAUGGGCUUACGCCUGAACCAGCCAAGUCGCGUGAGGGAAGACUGCCCUAUGGGUUGUAAACCUCUUUUGUCAGGGAGCAACGCCGGCUACGUGUAGCCGGACUGAGAGUACCUGAAGAAAAAGCAUCGGCUAACUCCGUGCCAGCAGCCGCGGUAAUACGGAGGAUGCGAGCGUUAUCCGGAUUUAUUGGGUUUAAAGGGUGCGUAGGCGGAAUGCCAAGUCAGCGGUAAAAGCGCGGGGCUCAACCUCGCUCUGCCGUUGAAACUGGCGUUCUUGAGUGCGCGAGAAGUAUGCGGAAUGCGUGGUGUAGCGGUGAAAUGCAUAGAUAUCACGAAGAACUCCGAUUGCGAAGGCAGCAUACCGGCGCCCAACUGACGCUGAAGCACGAAAGCGUGGGUAUCGAACAGGAUUAGAUACCCCAGUAGUC